AUACCCACAAAACCACAAAAUUUUGGCCGUGUAAGUUAAAUUUCAAAGGAAACCCUCUCCUCUCACAUCCCUCUUUGAUUGCCGUCAUCAUCUUCAUCUUCCAUCUUGGUCGAACAUUACUUCGUGAACCCGCAUUCAAACGAUUAGGUAGGACGGAGUACGCGCGUUCAAGGUUGGUAAAGGUACUUGGCUAUGAGUGAGGAGACGCUUAGAAUAAUCACCUAGUGAAGGGACAAUUUUUAUUUCAGUUUAAUUUGGUUUUGUUAUUUAUUUUAUGGGGAUGUGUUGUAUUAUUUUAUUGGCCACCUUUUAGACCACUUAGUUAGUUUUGACUUUAAUGAUUUUAAAUUGUUUUGUUGCUUUGGAUUU